rnacentral:rRNA from 1 species
AUGGGAACGCGAAGAACCUUACCUAGACUUGACAUCUCCUGAAUAGUGUAGAGAUACAUGAAGCCCUUCGGGGCAGGAAGACAGGUGGUGCAUGGUUGUCGUCAGCUCGUGUCGUGAGAUGUUGGGUUAAGUCCCGCAACGAGCGCAACCCUUAUUACUAGUUGCUACCAUUAAGUUGAGCACUCUAGUGAGACUGCCCGGGUUAACCGGGAGGAAGGCGGGGAUGACGUCAAAUCAUCAUGCCCCUUAUGUCUAGGGCAACACACGUGCUACAAUGGUGAGCACAGAUAGAUGCGAUACCGCAAGGUGGAGCCAAACUCUAAAACUCAUCCCAGUUCGGAUUGUAGGCUGCAACUCGCCUACAUGAAGUUGGAGUUGCUAGUAAUCGCGAAUCAGAAUGUCGCGGUGAAUACGUUCCCGGGUCUUGUACACACCG